GAUGAACGCUAGCGGCAGGCCUAAUACAUGCAAGUCGAGGGGCAGCACGAUCUUCGGAUUGGUGGCGACCGGCGCACGGGUGCGUAACGCGUAUGCAACCUACCUAUCACCGGGGGAUAGCCCAGAGAAAUUUGGAUUAAUACCCCAUGGUAUCAAAGAGAGGCAUCUCGAAAUGAUUAAAGAUUUAUUGGUGAUAGAUGGGCAUGCGUCUGAUUAGUUAGUUGGCGAGGUAACGGCUCACCAAGACGACGAUCAGUAGGGGUUCUGAGAGGAUGGUCCCCCACACUGGCACUGAGAUACGGGCCAGACUCCUACGGGAGGCAGCAGUAGGGAAUAUUGGUCAAUGGGCGAGAGCCUGAACCAGCCAUGCCGCGUGCAGGAUGACGGCCUUCUGGGUUGUAAACUGCUUUUAUAUAGGAAUAAAAAGGC
rnacentral:rRNA from 1 species